UACGAAGGGGGCUAGCGUUGCUCGGAAUCACUGGGCGUAAAGGGUGCGUAGGCGGGUCUUUUAAGUCAGGGGUGAAAUCCUGGAGCUCAACUCCAGAACUGCCUUUGAUACUGAAGAUCUUGAGUCCGGGAGAGGUGAGUGGAACUGGCGAGUGUAGAGGUGAAAUUCGUAGAUAUUCGCAAGAACACCAGUGGCGAAGGCGGCUCACUGGCCCGGUACUGACGCUGAGGCACGAAAGCGUGGGGAGCAAACAGGG
rnacentral:rRNA from 1 species